rnacentral:tRNA from 1 species
ACCUGGCUGGCUCAGUUGGUAGAGUAUGUGACUUGAUCUCAGAGUCAUGAGUUUAAGCCCCAUGUUAGGCA